UACGUAGGGGGCAAGCGUUGUCCGGAUUCAUUGGGCGUAAAGAGCGUGUAGGCGGCCAGGUAGGUCGGUUGUGAAAACUGGAGGCUCAACCUUCAGAGGUCGACCGAAACCAUCUGGCUAGAGUCCGGGAGAGGGAUGCGGAAUUCCAGGUGUAGCGGUGAAAUGCGUAGAUAUCUGGAGGAACACCGGUGGCGAAGGCGGCAUCCUGGACCGGCAUUGACGCUGAGGCGCGAAAGCCAGGGGAGCAAAGCGGGG
rnacentral:rRNA from 1 species